CCCUCUGUGGACGACCAGAGGUUUUAGAUUAAAAACUUCCUCAAACAGCAGCUUUAAAACCCCAUACUGUUGUUUUUAGCAGGUUUUAUAACAUUUAUUAUAGAUUAUUAUUAUUAUUAUUAUUAUACACAACUUCUAACCAAAGUGCUUCACAUUAAUUAACAAUCAGUAUUUUUAAGGAUGUUUUUUAGCGAAUGUCGGCAACAUUUCCAGACCUUUUUCUGCGUGUAAUCACCUGAAAAUAAGAAUCGUUUGUGUCUUUUUUCCCUUAAAAUGAGACGUUUUUACCUACAGACGCCUUCCACAGCCUUCCAUCUUUCUACGGUAGCCCAGAGUGGACAAACCAAACACUGGCUCUACAAUAGGGUGAGCCACCGUAGUUUCUCCGACACACUUCUGAAACUUCACCGCUACAUUAAAAGUAUUUAACAUAAAAAUGCAGGGUUUAUGUUGUUAUUUUCAUUCUUUAAAAGUCACCAGAUUGCAGAAAAAAGUCUCUGAAACUCAGAUUUUUUCUCGGGGGAGGAUCUCAAGGCACUUUGAUUUCAAAAUCCAACUUAUUUUUUAGGUCCCAAGGCUGGCAAACAUUAAAGGGGUUGCUAUCUGCAGUGGAAAACCAAGCUUCGCAUUGUGAAAUGUACCCAGUGUGCAAAAAAAGGGAACAAAGCGAACCUCAAACUUGGAGGGCUCGGCGAGGUCCUGCCACUCCUCGAUGACGUGGUUCCAGUCCACGUUGCAGAGCUGCACCCUGAGCUCGCCGAUGAUGUCGUGUUUGGAGAAUCUGUUAAAGUCAAAGAUCUGCAUCACCACCGUCGAAGCCAGGAGGGACGACUUGGAUAUCUGGGAAAAGAAGCAUCAGAAGUAUCUGAGGGUCGGUCCUGAAACCUUUUGGGACCUUUUUGUUUUGAGGAACCUUUUCGACACCACUUCUUACAUGGAAGUUGAAUUGUUCGUUGAAGACGGGGUUCAGCGUGUGUCUGAACACUUUGGUCUCACAGGUUUUGGAUUUCUCGGGGCAGAUGUAGACUUUGGUGUACGGGUCCGAGCUUCCUCCCAGGUCCAUGGCCUUCAGGCCGCUGGCUUGUUUGAUCCCCACUGUGAGCUGAAAGACCAACGGAAAACAGACUUUUAGCGAACAAGAUAAAGCGCCCUCUAAGUGAUCCUUCCAGCAGAUAAAACACGAUAAAGUGCCCCCCUAAGUUGCCCUUAGAGUGGAUAAGACAACAUAAACCCUUCUUGGGUACUAAUCCUAACCCUGACUAAGAUGUUUCACCAUAAAUGUUGUUAUUGUUCAUUGUCCAUUUAUUAUUUUUCCUCCACUGACUUGAAGCUAUAGUCACAGGUUGGAUCACCUCAGACUGAGCGCCGUUGUAUUCCAGAGAGUAGAGCAGCUUUCCUCGCCGCUUUUUGGCCGAGCCGUAGUCCACAUCCGCCACGUCCGGCUGAAUCUAUCAGAGCACAGGAAGCACAUCAGGUCACGGACACCAGAAGGAGCUAACACAAGCCUUAUCUUCUAUUCAGUGCUUUACUAAUGUGCCACAAUUAUGGUUUUUUUUGAGAGCAAAUAUUGAUUUAUGUGAUUGUUUGCGAUUAAAUCUGCAUUUAUUUCUGCCUUUUUUCUGAAACAGCCAUCCAAUGAUCCUCCAGAGGGCGCCGUCACUCACUAAAGCUGAGGUGGUUUUUCCGUUCACGCCGUUCAGAUUGAUCUUCUCGUCCUUUUUCUGCUGCUUCUUCUUCUUGUUCCCCUUGCAGCAGCACUUGAUGCAGAUACACAGACAGCAGAGCAGAAUCAGCAGACCGCCGGCCACAAAGAUGGCGUAAACCAGCCAUCGAGGCACUGUCGGAGAGAAGAUGGAGUAUUUCUACACUGCAGUGUUACAGCACUUUGGUGACUUACGGGGGAUCUUGUUCAGAAGGUUGUUGAAGAAGGCGCCGGCCGGGCUGAGGGUGGUGUUAGUGUAGACGGCGGUGGUGAAGAUGAUGGUG